rnacentral:rRNA from 1 species
GACGAACGCUGGCGGCGUGCUUAACACAUGCAAGUCGAACGGAAAUGCCCUGCUUUUGUGGGGUGCUCGAGUGGCGAACGGGUGGGUAACACGUGAGUAACCUGCCCUUGACUUUGGGAUAACUUCAGGAAACUGGGGCUAAUACCGGAUAGGAGCUCCUGCUGCAUGGUGGGGGUUGGAAAGUUUCGGCGGUUGGGGAUGGACUCGCGGCUUAUCAGCUUGUUGGUGGGGUAGUGGCUUACCAAGGCUUUGACGGGUAGCCGGCCUGAGAGGGUGACCGGCCACAUUGGGACUGAGAUACGGCCCAGACUCCUACGGGAGGCAGCAGUGGGGAAUAUUGCACAAUGGGCGGAAGCCUGAUGCAGCAACGCCGCGUGCGGGAUGACGGCCUUCGGGUUGUAAACCGCUUUCGCCUGUGACGAAGCGUGAGUGACGGUAAUGGGUAAAGAAGCACCGGCUAACUACGUG